rnacentral:rRNA from 1 species
GUAGUCAUAUGCUUGUCUCAAAGAUUAAGCUAUGCAUGUCUAAGUAUAAGCAAUUAUACCGUGAAACUGCGAAUGGCUCAUUAAAUCAGUUAUCGUUUAUUUGAUAGUACCUUACUACUUGGAUAACCGUGGUAAUUCUAGAGCUAAUACAUGCUAAAAACCCCGACUUCGGAAGGGGUGUAUUUAUUAGAUAAAAAACCUAUGCCCUUCGGGGCUCCUUGGUGAUUCAUGAUAACUUCUCAGAUCGCAUGGCCUUGCGCCGGCGACGGUUCAUUCAAAUUUCUGCCCUAUCAACUUUCGAUGGUAAGGUAUUGGCUUACCAUGGUUUCAACGGGUAACGGGGAAU